AGAAAGCUCACCAUGGUAGGGACAGUGAGGAAGAACAAGUCUUAACUUCCCCCUGCACUGGUAUCGAUCAGAGGAAGAGAGGCAGUCUCAUCAAAAUUUGCACUGACACACACACUGUUGUGUCAUAUGUUCCCAAGAAGAAUAGAAAUGUCAUCCUGACGAGCACACUACACAAAGAUGCCGCUGUCAGCACCACAGAGGACAGGAAGCCCCUUGUGAUCCAGGACUACAACAAGAACAAAGAAGGCGUUGACUGCCUCGACAAGUUUCCCAGCAUGCCUUGGCUGUGCUCAUGGAAGUGAAUGAGGGGGAAAGAUCUGUCCUGCUGCCCUGUCAGUACUCGGAUUUCAUACCUGGUGAUCUCAGAGGACAAAAGCAGCGUUACAGCGGCGCACAUCGAUGAGAGCUGAUGCUCUCAACACUUCAGACCUCCGCCUGUCUCUGAGAAAACCAACAAUGGCUGUCAGCAGCAACUACACCUGCUCCACCAGUGCUGGGAGAGAAGAGCUGAGACUGACAGCUCUUUGUACAGGCCUUCACCUCCUCAUUCAUCCACAGUCUGCCUCCCUCUGCUCCAUCAGCUGACGUCCUCUGUACAACUACCUGCUGUGUGCACAUCUUUGAUUUCUUCUUCUUUUUAUCCUGCAAAGCUCAAACUUCACUAUAA